rnacentral:rRNA from 1 species
UACGGGGGGGGGCAAGCGUUGUUCGGAAUUACUGGGCGUAAAGGGUGCGUAGGCGGCUUUCUAAGUUGGAUGUGAAAACUAUGGGCUCAACCCAUAGCCUGCAUCCAAAACUGGAGAGCUUGGGUUCUGGAGGGGAAAGCGGAAUUCCUGGUGUAGCGGUGAAAUGCGUAGAUAUCCGGAGGAACACCGGUGGCGAAGGCGGCCUGCUGGGCAGUGGCUGACACUGAGGCGCGACAGCGUGGGGAGCAAACAGG